CACUGGUAAAUAUAAUUCAGCUGACGGGGCACUGCCAGGUCCACCGAGCAAUACUGUGCUCACAGGAUUGAUAUUUGUGACCUAUAAAACAAUGAUUUAAGACAGGUGACUCAGUCUUCAUGCAUGUAACUCCUUGAUUCUUGGUGGGCCCCAGCUGGUCAGGGGCUCAGUCUUUAUCUAGUAGCUUCCCCUGCUAAUUCUUGCGAUCAUCACCAACUCUAGUCUACCAUUUUGGGAGGGGAUGUAUCUACAUUUGUAAUUGUUUUAUUCCCAGCAUCCAGCACAGUGCCUGGCACAUGGUUUUUUGGAGAAGGAGGCGUUUAAUUAUAAAUGGGAAUUCGGGUAAGAGGCUUCAAGUCUGGAGUGUUCCAGAGCUCCGUGGAGGUCACACAGCCUCAGUCUUCCAUUUAGGACACCUGAGAGUGGUUGAGAUUUAAAUAGUUUUCAAACGUGGCCACUCAUUGGAAUCACCUGGGGAGCUUUAACACGUCGGUCUUGGGAUUCUAAAGUAAUUGGUUUGAGGUGCACCUUGGGCUUUGGGAAAUUUUCCCAGAUGAUUCUACUAUGGAGCCAUGGUUGAGAACCAAAGUGAGAGUCUUCUCUUCUGCGGAUAUGGAUACUUAAUGUUACUGCUGAUGAGUCUCAAGUGAGCGCAUCCAUUUGUUUCCUUCUCUGAAGUUACCAACAAAGGGAGAGGUGUUCCAUCCUUCAUGGAAAUCAGUGUAUUUUCUCUCGAAGACAUUUUGGCUGAUUGGUGACAGAUUCACACAGCCUGCUUUCCUUUCCUCUUUACAAUGGAUACCUCCCACUUUGUGCUUUGGGGUUCUCUCCAUUUCCCCUCCCCACUUACCCCUAGCCCUCUACUAGCUUUAGAGUGGAAUAUAAUCUGCUAUUCAUUCCUCUGCCUUGUGGGCUCCCAAGAGCAUUUGGUUUUAAGGGCUUCCUACUAAUCACUAUGAGGAAACUGGUAUAGAGCAAUGAAACAUAGGGAAGUUACCAAGGUUCCAGAAGUUUCUAACCAUCUUGAUAAUGGCAGUCUCUUCUAUAGCUCACACGCCUCCCUCUGAGAUGGUGACCAGAAGCCCGGGCCCACCAAAUCUCUCCCCUGGCUGUAAUUUAUUUCUUCUUUUCCUUUUUAGAUGAAGAACAUGGCAAGGUUCAGCCAUUAGCCCCCGCCCCUGCCUGCCUGCUUCUGCAUGCAGGCAGAUAACAAGUGGAUCCUGGUAUUAAGAAAGAUGUUUCGCUUGUCUGAGACCCUCCAGCCUAGGGGAUAGCUACCUACUUCACCGCCUUUUAUUGUGUCAGCCUGGGCACCUAAUCUUUUUUAAAACAUUACCUCUAUGGAAAAAUGUGUUUCAAAUUGUAAAAGACUCACAUACAAAUAAGCUUUUUGGAACUCAAUCU
rnacentral:lncRNA from 1 species